AAGCAAGUGGGUGUCUUAGUAAUACCCUUGGUCUUAUCUACUCAAAUCGACCGAAGAGAAUCAGAUUUCUCUUCUUCUUUCUUCUUUCUCUCUUAUCUUCUUCUUCAGUUUUUCGAUCGAGGGAUGAUUUGAGAAAACAAAUUAGUGAUUUGGGGAUCGAAUAAAGUGGGGAAGUAUAUGUAGUAACUGUUGGUGGUGGUGUUGAUUAGGUUAGAUGUUCAGAAUCGAUGGAUAGGUUAAUUAGAUAAUUCAAUUUAGGGUUCUGUGAGUUGAAGAUGGACUGAUUUAAUUUGAUAAAAAGAGAUUAAGGUAUGGGUUUGAUUUUGAAGAACAACAAUGAUUCGGCAGAUCUGGAAAUUAGGGUUUGCGAGAUAUGAAUUCAAUUGAAGAUUAAGAUGAAAUUAAGGAUCUAAGGGAGUGACUAGAGUUGGGUAUGAGUUGAAUUAUAAGUUGAAGUUGAAAACCAGUUUGUAUUUGAUAGUUAGGUUUUCAUAGAAUGAACCAAAUAAGGAUUGGAAGAUGAAUUGAGGCUUUAGAAGACAGAUUGGAGGUGGGUUUGUCACGAAUUAAGAUUUAAGGUUGAAGAAUAAUUUGGAAUAAGUAAUUAGGGUUUUUCUGAGAACCAGUGUUGUUGUUAAAGAUUGUUGGAUUGAUAAUGAUUUUGGGAUGAAUUGGUGAGUGAAGUCAAAGAGAAUAAGAAAUCAGUUCAAUUGCUUGAGCAGAUUGAGGUAAUUAUUCAUUCAAGAUAACUUUGUAAAUAUGUUCUUUUUGAUUAUAGUGUGUAUGACUUUAAUGGAUGAGAUUGAAAUAGUUAUUUGAGUCUGUAAUGGAAUUGCAGAUGUAGAUUAGGUUAUAUGAUGAAUUACGAUUGAGGAAUAUAUGUUUGAACUGUAGAAGUUGGUGUGGAUGCAGAUUGUGUGGUGUUGAGUUAAUUUGAAGAAUUAGUGGUGUUGGUGCUGGUUUGUCUGUGAUGUUCAAGCUGCAGGGGACAUUAGUGAAUUGUGGAGGUGCAGAGUUAUUGAGCUGUGUGUGUGUAUGGAACUGGAUUUAGAGAUAGUUAUGAAACCGUGGUUGAAUCAGUUGUGUGCGUAUGAUGUUACGUGUUGUUUCCUGUGUUGUUGUUGGAGGGUGAAUGAGAUGAGUGAUAUUGAUGUUGUGGCAGAUGGAAUGGAAUUUUGUUGGUGGUGUUGAAUUGGGGGAAUGGGUUGUAGUGGCAGUGUUAUUAUGAACUGUUGAUGGAACUGAAAUAGAAGAUGUGGUUGUUAUGGUGGUGGUGUUUUACAGUGACAGAGGAUUCUAGGAGACACAAGUAUGAGUUGUGUCAUGAUGUGCACAAGGUCUUGGAGGUGCAAGAGAAUGGAUGUGAAGUGAGUUGUUGGGUGUUGCUGUUGGGAGUGUUGUUGAGCUGUAGAGUUUAGUCCUGGUAGUGAUGUUUGAUGGAACUGAUAAUGUUGAGCUGAGUUAAGAUGUUUCAGUUGCUGGUUGUAGUACUUGUGAGGCUAUAGUGGUCUGAAGUUGUAGGCAGGAAAGGUGUAACUGGGAUGGUAGUUGUAGGAGUAUUGUUAGUGAUUGCUGUGAAAAGCUUAAAGCUGCAUUUGCAGGAUGAACCAGUGGAUCGUGGAUCUCGAGGUAGGAGAGGCUUGCUAUCAAAAUAGUUUCAGAGACAAACUAGAGUUGUGCAACGAAAGCUUCGAGGAGUUGACUCCGUUAAUUAGUUAAAUAUUUGCUAUAUUUAUUAUGUUGUAUAUUUAAUUUGAAAACCAAAUGACUAUUGUAUUUGUAUCAUUUGAGAGGAGUUCUUGUAUAUAUAUAUCUGAGCGGGGCUAAUUUUGGGUUAAGUUUUGUAGCAGAUUUCUUAAUUGAAUGUUUACGUAAAGGAUUUAUAUUUUUAGCGCC